rnacentral:rRNA from 1 species
GACGAACGCUGGCGGCGUGCUUAACACAUGCAAGUCGAACGGAAAGGCCCUGCUUGCAGGGUACUCGAGUGGCGAACGGGUGAGUAACACGUGGGUGAUCUGCCCUGCACUUCGGGAUAAGCUUGGGAAACUGGGUCUAAUACCGGAUAGGAGCCAUCUUUAGUGUGGUGGUUGGAAAGUUUUUUCGGUGUAGGAUGAGCUCGCGGCCUAUCAGCUUGUUGGUGGGGUAAUGGCCUACCAAGGCGGCGACGGGUAGCCGGCCUGAGAGGGUGUACGGCCACAUUGGGACUGAGAUACGGCCCAGACGCCUACGGGAGGCAGCAGUGGGGAAUAUUGCACAAUGGGCGCAAGCCUGAUGCAGCGACGCCGCGUGGGGGAUGAAGGCCUUCGGGUUGUAAACUCCUUUCGCUAGGGACGAAGCUUUUUGUGACGGUACCUAGAUAAGAAGCACCGGCUAACUACGUG